CGUAGUUAGUUAAGAUAGCAAACAUAUAUUUUUUACUGUCAACACAAAACCUACCGGUUUAAAACAUUUGCCCUGUAAUAAUUUUCAUGUAUACUUUCAACAAAUUACUAUUAAUAUACAUUAACAAGACUGUUGUUUAUGAACAUUCUAAAUAUCAUUUUAUGGUUCGUUUAAGUAUUAUAAGAUCAUAUGAUAGGGCUAUAGAAUAUGUUUUCAUAACAUGAUAGUGCUAUACAAUAUGUAUUAAUAUAAAAGCAGUCGAGAUUUUUUAUAUUAACAUGCAAAAUAUCAUUUUACAACCAAAAUUUCACUGUUAUAAAAAAAGGAAAAAAAAAAUCCCUGUUAUUAAAUACAAACUCUUGAUACCGUAUGACCUACAAAUACGCGAUUUCAAAACUUUAAGAUAUUAUUGGAUUUGUAUAAUAUUUACCACACUAAUGCUUAGAUAUCAAAAAUUGAACCUUUUACAC
rnacentral:lncRNA from 1 species